AUUGAACGCUGGCGGCAUGCCUUACACAUGCAAGUCGAACGGCAGCACGGGAGCAAUCCUGGUGGCGAGUGGCGAACGGGUGAGUAAUAUAUCGGAACGUGCCCAGUCGUGGGGGAUAACGUAGCGAAAGCUACGCUAAUACCGCAUACGAUCUAUGGAUGAAAGCAGGGGAUCGCAAGACCUCGCGCGAUUGGAGCGGCCGAUAUCAGAUUAGGUAGUUGGUGGGGUAAAGGCUCACCAAGCCGACGAUCUGUAGCUGGUCUGAGAGGACGGCCAGCCACACUGGGACUGAGACACGGCCCAGACUCCUACGGGAGGCAGCAGUGGGGAAUUUUGGACAAUGGGCGCAAGCCUGAUCCAGCAAUGCCGCGUGCAGGAUGAAGGCCUCCGGGUUGUAAACUGCUUUUGUACGGAGCGAAAAGGCUUCCACUAAUACUGGGGGCUCAUGACGGUACCGUAAGAAUAAGCACCGGCUAACUACGUGCCAGCCGCCGCGGUAAAAC
rnacentral:rRNA from 1 species